ACCUGGUUGAUUCUGCCAGUAGUCAUAUGCUUGUCUCAAAGAUUAAGCCAUGCAUGUCUAAGUAUAAGCAAUCUAUACGGUGAAACUGCGAAUGGCUCAUUAAAUCAGUUAUCGUUUAUUUGAUAGUACCUUACUACUUGGAUACCCGUGGUAAUUCUAGAGCUAAUACAUGCUAAAAACCUCGACUUCGGAAGGGGUGUAUUUAUUAGAUAAAAAACCAAUGCCCUUCGGGGCUCCUUGGUGAUUCAUAAUAACUUAUCGAAUCGCAUGGCCUUGCGCCGGCGAUGGUUCAUUCAAAUUUCUGCCCUAUCAACUUUCGAUGGUAGGAUAGUGGCCUACCAUGGUGGCAACGGGUAACGGGGAAUUAGGGUUCGAUUCCGGAGAGGGAGCCUGAGAAACGGCUACCACAUCCAAGGAAGGCAGCAGGCGCGCAAAUUACCCAAUCCCGAUACGGGGAGGUAGUGACAAUAAAUACUGAUACAGGGCUCUUUCGGGUCUUGUAAUUGGAAUGAGUACAAUCUAAAUCCCUUAACGAGGAACAAUUGGAGGGCAAGUCUGGUGCCAGCAGCCGCGGUAAUUCCAGCUCCAAUAGCGUAUAUUAAAGUUGUUGCAGUUAAAAAGCUCGUAGUUGAACCUUGGGUCUGGCUGGCCGGUCCGCCUCACCGCGUGCACUGGUCCGGCCGGACCUUUCCUCCUGGGAAGCCCCAUGGCCUUUACUGGCUGUGGGGGGAACCAGGACUUUUACUGUGAAAAAAUUAGAGUGUUCAAAGCAGGCCUUUGCUCGGAUACAUUAGCAUGGAAUAAUAGAAUAGGACGUGUGGUUCUAUUUUGUUGGUUUCUAGGACCGCCGUAAUGAUUAAUAGGGAUGGUCGGGGGCGUCAGUAUUCGGCUGUCAGAGGUGAAAUUCUUGGAUUUGCUGAAGACUAACUACUGCGAAAGCAUUCGCCAAGGAUGUUUUCAUUAAUCAGUGAACGAAAGUUAGGGGAUCGAAGAUGAUCAGAUACCGUCGGGUAGGUAUUAGGAAAUUCCUGAUAUCAGAAAGAAACCGAAGUGCUGACUAAGCUUUUAGGCUGCAAUGGCAUUUUAACUCUCUUACUGAUAACAGAAGACUCAUUCCACAAAGUCUACAAAUUUCCGAGCUAGUACCUGCGCGACAUCCUACCUGCGAAUUCUUACUUGUAAGAGUUGCUGAAACUAGCUUAGUCAAUCGCGGUAUCAAUACAAGCAUAACUGAAUCAAAGCCAACUUCCCUGUUUUAAUUUUAUAAUGUGAAGUAAGCUACUGUCCUCAAGCACGGUAUAAUACAUUAAAUGUAAUACUAACUAAAUAAACAGAUAACACCUCAGACAAUACAAGAUUGUAAGUAUGAACCCCGUAACCUCCUUGUGUUGGAUAUGCAAAGGUGGCAGCUCUAAAUCCCGGUCACUACUUUUAACUAACCAACAUAGAAACAUGACUCCUACACUAACUUCAAAAAGAGGAUGAAGUAAGUCCUGAAAUAAAGGAAUUGGUGAGAUCUUCAAAAAGAAUUAACC